GAUGAAGAACGCAGCGAAAUGCGAUAAGUAAUGUGAAUUGCAGAAUUCAGUGAACCAUCGAAUCUUUGAACGCACAUUGCGCCCGGCAGUAAUCUGCCGGUCAUGCCUGUCCGAGCGUCAUUUCUGCCCUCGAGCCUGUCCAGCAUCUAGGUGCUGUUCCGGCCCGGCGUUGGGGCACUACGGGAAGCCUCGUGCUAUCCCCCGUAGGCCCCGAAAUGAAGUGGCGGUCCUGCCGCGGCUCCCCCUGCGUAGUAUUACAGCUCGCUUCGGGACCCGGUGGAGGCCUGCCGUCAAACCUUACUCUCUAAGUUUGACCUCGGAUCAGGUAGGGUUACCCGCUGAACUUAAGCAUAUCAAUAAGCGGAGGA
rnacentral:misc_RNA from 1 species